CCUGUGAAAGGCCCAGGAAGAUAAACUUAUUUUAGAAUAAGGAUAUUAUCACUCAAUUCACAGAAGAGGAAAUAGAAGGAGAGAAACAUAGAGUGAUUUUCGUAUCUGGUAAGUAGCAGACACACAAUUUGAACUCAGGAUUUUUAGACUCUAAAUUUUUGAGAGAACCAAAAAAG
rnacentral:lncRNA from 1 species